GACGAACGCUGGCGGCGUGCUUAACACAUGCAAGUCGAACGGAAAGGCCCUGCUUUUGUGGGGUGCUCGAGUGGCGAACGGGUGAGUAACACGUGAGUAACCUGCCCUUGACUUUGGGAUAACUUCAGGAAACUGGGGCUAAUACCGGAUAGGAGCUCCUGCUGCAUGGUGGGGGUUGGAAAGGUUCGGCGGUUGGGGAUGGACUCGCGGCUUAUCAGCUUGUUGGUGGGGUAGUGGCUUACCAAGGCUUUGACGGGUAGCCGGCCUGAGAGGGUGACCGGCCACAUUGGGACUGAGAUACGGCCCAGACUCCUACGGGAGGCAGCAGUGGGGAAUAUUGCACAAUGGGCGGAAGCCUGAUACAGCAACGCCGCGUGCGGGAUGACGGCCUUCGGGUUGUAAACCGCUUUCGCCUGUGACGAAGCGUGAGUGACGGUAAUGGGUAAAGAAGCACCGGCUAACUACGUG
rnacentral:rRNA from 1 species